UCAGCCGGCCGGUGGCGCCGGGGUGCCGGGGCGAUUAGGAUUAGUGCUGGGGAGUUGGGACCGCACCUCAAGUGGGCGGCGGCGGCAAAGAUGGCGAGGCGGCUUGGGGGCACGAGGCUGGGGAGACGCUGCCGCUGGACGCCGGUGGUUGGAUGAGAAGCGGACGUGCGGUUGCGGCGUGCACAAGCACAAUUGCGCAAAGGAGCCGCUCCCCGCUCGGCAGGCUUAUGGACCUCGGUCAGGUGCGGUUUGCCAUCUCUCCCCAGUGGCUAUUUGAAUGGUGAUCUCGUGAAAGAGUUAAGGUAAUUAAAUUGGUAACGAAAAGGACAGGUAAAUGAACCAAGAAGAAAGGACACCGAGAGACUGAAAUAAGAAGUCAUGUGGCAAGAUAAACUACAAGAAGAAACAAUGUAAUUGCUGCCGGCAUGGUUUUAGUCACCCUGAAGGCCGGCAUGGAGGCAAAGUAGUUGGGAAACAGACAGGUACGACAUGGUUGGAAUCUCGAUUAGACAUGAAAGGUAUCUUUAGAUAUUUUCAAGGAGGAUCUGUCGGGAUCUUUAGGUACCUUCAAUUUAAGUAUGUGUUACUAGAAGCUUUGAAUGUUAGCAACCCUCGACCAUUUCAUUUAUUAUAUUCUUUCUGAACAAAAAAACUCAACAUUGUCCUUGAAAAUGUUACAGGGUUACACGAUCCAAAAUGAAAAGAAUCUGAUACUCAUUGCCCUUUCCACGCUCUCUAUCAUCUUAGUGGAGUCAAGUAUAGAAUCAAAUGGCCUCUUCCUAUUCAAAGGCUGAUGCUCGUCUUGAUGCGAAUUCAUGGCUAAACUGUUGCAAGUAACAGGAUUCUUCCCUUUUGUAUGUAGAAGAUUCUCCUCUUCUCAGAGGACCUCAAGCUCAACCAAUUUUAAGAACUCCUCGGUAUCUGCCGAUAACUUCUCUAACUUAUCCACUGUGCUGUUGAGCUUCUCCACGUCCUCAUCUAAUGAGAACAGUACCUUGCCGGCAUUGUGAAAGUACUCUACGAUACUGGACAUAGCAAUCUUUAUGUACGCCAGAGGCCCAGAUGUACCAAUCUGAUUGCUGUUGUUCUUGCUGGCUUCAUUCAGGGCUCGCCAAUUGAAGGUAAAGAGGACCUCAUCGCCAUCCGCAGCUGCUUCUUUCAGCAUCUCCUGCCACUGAAGCAGCUGCACUUUUCAGUCACCUUGGAGAUGAGCCUACCCGUGAUGUCAGUGACCACUGCUGAACAAAUCACUCCUCCCAUUGAUGAAGCAGCUUGUAUGAAUAGUCCGAGCAGCAGCUCAAAGGAAAGUUGAGGGAUUGGGUGUGUAUUGAUUAGGUGUUCUUUCUGCACUGCCAUCUGAGGGAUUUAACUGGUUUGUGGCAGAAAAAGGACAACCAAAAUGUACGGGGUGGAAGAGGUUCCAAGGGAGGGAAAACGAGAAUUACGAAGCACACCGAUUAUGUGAUUGGGGGAACCGGAGAAGUCAAGGGUACAUAGUUGCUGUCAUCCACUCAACACAGGGCCCUGGUUGAGAGGAACAAGGCACUGCUGUGUGCAUAGUUUACAUCAGGUAAUGGCCUGCACAAGAGAAUAUCACCGGCAGCCUUACAAACUGCCUGCUCCCAUGCCUGUACUGUUGAGCUGUAAGCAGGAUGUUGCGCGUGCUCAUCUCAGUCAGUAUAAAUAUAAUUUUUAGGAAAAAAAUCCAAUUUACUCCCUUCAA